UCUUCAAACCCCUGACAGACGAGUCCGUACUCUCUCUGGUACGAUAAAAAAAACCCUAAUUUUAUUUCUGAGUUCACUUCGAACGAGUAUCAUCAUCACCAUCGUCUCUAUUUCGUAGAAUGCCUCAAAGUUCAUCGGCGAAAAAACACGGUUCAGAGCAGCCGGACGUUGCUGGUCCCACCCCAAAAUCACUGCGCACCAAAAUGAUGAAAUCUACAGAUGAUUCUGAGAAGAAGAGCUUGAAGAAACAGCUCAAAGAUGUUGAAAUUAGCGUUCCUGUAGUGUACGGUAGCGCUGCAUUCUGGCUAGGUAAAAAGGCAAGCGAGUUCCAGUCUCAUAAAUGGACUGUUUAUGUUCGCGGCGCAACGAAUGAGGAUCUUGGUGUGGUGGUUAAGCGUGCUGUCUUUCAAUUACAUGCCAGUUUCAAUAAUCCAACGAGGGUUAUGGAGUCCCCACCGUUUGAGUUGUCUGAGUCUGGAUGGGGUGAAUUUGAAAUCGCCAUCACCCUUCAUUUCCACAGUGAUGUUUGUGAUAAGCCGUUGCACUUAUUUCACCAUUUAAAGUUGUAUCCGGAGGAUGAAUCUGGUCCCAUGUCCAUUAAGAAGCCUGUAGUUGUGGAAUCAUACGAUGAGAUUGUUUUUACUGAACCGUCAGAGGGUUUCUUUGCUCGUGUGCAGAAUCAUCCUGCUGUAAUCGUGCCUAGGCUACCUCCUGGUUUUAGUCUACCUCCUCCUGUACCAAUUGAAGAUGUGGAUAGAAGGAAGAGGGGUGACACCAAAGAUAAUCCCUUAAACCAGUGGUUCACAAAUUUUUCUGAGGCUGAUGAGCUCUUAAAGCUUGCAGCAGCUCGUCAGCAGGACACAAGUCACACAACCUAGUGCAUGGAAAGAGGUGAAGGUGAAGAAGAGUAAUGGAAAUGGUGUUGUGCAUGCUCCCCUAGAGAAAAAGCUUGAGGUGCAAGCCCAUAUUGCUAGACUCAGAAGGCAGUUGAGUGUUGUGGACGGGCAGCAUCAGCAGUUGAAAACUUCCUCUGACCUGUGAAUGUACACUAUUUCUCCCAUAAGCUAUGAUUUAUUUAUUUAUUUUUUGUUAAAAUGAUUUUAUGGCAGAAUCAUUGUGUGUUGUAACGGUGUAAGAGUAUAAUUAUACUGAUUUGUUUACUCUAGAGAUCUGUACCUUCUCCUUACAUAUGUCCUUUUUGUUGUAAUUCUUUUCAGAAGAGUUAAUUGACAGUUUAUUUGUACUGAACAAGAGGAAAUAGGAAUGUAAAACAAAUUGAUUUAUUAGUUUUAUGAUUUGAA